rnacentral:tRNA from 1 species
UCCCUGGUGGCCUGAUGGUUAAGGCUCCUCUGUGCUCACCGCCGUGGCCCAGGUUUGAUCCCUGGGCAGGGAA